GCCGAAUUAGCUCAGUUGGGAGAGCGUUAGACUGAAGAUAUAGAGGUCCCUUGUUGGAUCCCGGGUUUCGGCA
rfam:Ixodes scapularis strain Wikel colony gcontig_1108378596998, whole genome shotgun sequence.